ACCAGGAUGGCCGAGUGGUUAAGGCGUUGGACUUAAGUUUAAAUGUACGAAUGUACGCGUGGGUUCGAACCCCACUACUGGUA
rfam:Nematostella vectensis strain CH2 x CH6 NEMVEscaffold_350_Cont24646, whole genome shotgun sequence.